CAAAGUGGCUGCUCCGGCUCCGAUGGGAUAAAAAAUGCCAGCUAACUUGCUGAGGAUAAUACGUUUUGUUAUUUUGGACGGCUUUGUAGACGUGGUCGUUCCUUCAUUGGAUAAUGCAUCGGAAUACUCGAUCUUUACUGCAAACGAGAACUGAUCUUGCUUUGGAUGCCAAACCGUUGCGAGAACCUUUUGCACAUUGGUUUCUUUAUUUGCUCCGAGCACUACUUAAUCUCUG